rfam:Fusarium verticillioides 7600 chromosome 4, whole genome shotgun sequence.
GCGGGUUUAGCUCAGUUGGGAGAGCGUCAGACUGAAGUCAAACUUCAAUCCACUGAUAUCUGAAGGUCGUGUGUUCGAUCCACACAAACCGCA